GUGCGAAAGCAGGUCAUAGUGAUCCGGUGGUUCUGAAUGGAAGGGCCAUCGCUCAACGGAUAAAAGGUACUCCGGGGAUAACAGGCUGAUACCGCCCAAGAGUUCAUAUCGACGGCGGUGUUUGGCACCUCGAUGUCGGCUCAUCACAUCCUGGGGCUGAAGUCGGUCCCAAGGGUAUGGCUGUUCGCCAUUUAAAGUGGUACGCGAGCUGGGUUUAGAACGUCGUGAGACAGUUCGGUCCCUAUCUGCCGUGGGCGUUGGAAGAUUGAAGGGGGCUGCUCCUAGUACGAGAGGACCGGAGUGGACGAACCUCUGGUGUUCGGGUUGUGUCGCCAGACGCAUUGCCCGGUAGCUAAGUUCGGAAUCGAUAACCGCUGAAAGCAUCUAAGCGGGAAGCGAGCCCUGAGAUGAGUCUUCCCUGAUACUUUAAGUAUCCUAAAGGGUUGUCGGAGACUACGACGUUGAUAGGUCAGGUGUGUAAGUGCUGUGAGGCAUUGAGCUAACUGAUACUAAUUGCCCGUGAGGCUUAACCAUACAACACCCAAGGGGUUU
rnacentral:rRNA from 1 species